CCUUAUCAUUCUUGCGCCCCGUGUUAUAUUGUUGGCGACUGGACGGAGAACUGAUAAGGGC
rnacentral:pre_miRNA from 1 species